UACGUAGGGUGCGAGCGUUGUCCGGAUUUAUUGGGCGUAAAGAGCUUGUAGGCGGUUUGUCACGUCGAAAGUGAAAACCUGGGCCUUAAUCCCGGGCUUGCUUUCGAUACGGGCUGACUGGAGGAAGGUAGGGGAGAACGGAAUUCCUGGUGGAGCGGUGGAAUGCGCAGAUAUCAGGAGGAACACCGGUGGCGAAGGCGGUUCUCUGGACCUUUCCUGACGCUGAGAAGCGAAAGCGUGGGGAGCAAACAGG
rnacentral:rRNA from 1 species